AUUAUAACAUGUCUGGUUCUAGUUGCUAGUAUUGUAA
rnacentral:sRNA from 1 species